CUCUUACCAAUAGGCAAAUCAGGGACACACUGCACUGGGCCAGAGAGCUGCCUGUUAGAGCUAGCAUUAGGAGUUCUUUAAAUAAUGAAGUUGUCAUUCCAAUUCAAAAUGCUUUAAAUAAUUUCCCAAGGAAUACCAGCCAUCUGGUUGGUGUUCAUCAGUAUUUUCAUUUAACAUUUUAGUUUUAUCAAAUUUUUUAAAUUAAGAAUUAGAAUCAUAGCUACUAUCAGGAUACAUAUACACAGGUGUGCAUGCCAGUGUUAACAGAUUGUGCAAAAGUUCAAAUCCGCUUCAAAAAGCCAAAACUUAGGAUAGACCAUGUUAUUAGUCUGGAAAUAAAAACAUCAUCAGCUCUUCCAACGCCCACUGCCAAAUUCAAUUUUGCUUUUUGUUUUUGGUUUUUUUCCCCCCCUUUACUCUUCCAAGAUCAUAUGGGAGGAAACCCCUUCCCGACUAAGACUUGGUUAUAAAAAUUGUGUUAUUGAAUUUCCACAUUCAGAAUACAUUUUUCUGUCCAUCCAUCCCCCAUGCUCUUACCUAGGUCUGGGCCCACGGCCAUAUGCUUGUGUUUACAGAGAUUGUUCUGACUUAAGUCAGCUUUCCAGUGCAGCCACGGCACAGCCAAGGAGUUUUCUCCAAGGUCUUUGCUAACCUUUGCAUUUAGUCCCCAUGUGGCCGUUGGGGUCCAGUCCUCCUAGGAAUGGUGCUGCUCUGCUAGGCCUCAGACUGAUAGUGCUGGGAAAGAGCAAGUCAAGGAGGACCCAGACCCUCUUCUCUCCACCCACCACAGGAAGAUCAAGCCCCUAGGAUCCCUCUUGCACUCUUGGGCAGGCCAUCUGCCAGGAUCCUACCUCUGGCCUCACCCUGAGCUUGGCUCUGCCUCUGCUCUCAGAGAUAGAGUGGGGGUUCCUCCUGUGAGACCUGUCAUGCCUUCCAGGGGUCAGGCUGGGGAAGGGACUGGGAUUAAAAGGCCCAUCCAACCCAGAGAAAGAUGCCCAGCCUGGCUGGAGUCUCCCAGGAACUUUAGAAAAGAUAGAAGCUUUGGGACAGACCUGGAUGAAGAUGUGCCCAAUGUGGGUAGAGCUGAGGGCCACAUUCUGGAGCCCUUUCCUCAGCCACAGUGAGCAGUAGCCAUUCUGAAGCCCCAGGACUCGCUCACUCUCCUCCUGAUGGUGGACAAGUGGC
rnacentral:lncRNA from 1 species